AACGAACGCUGGCGGCAGGCCUAAAACAUGCAAGUCGAACGCUCUAGCAAUAGAGAGUGGCGCACGGGUGCGUAAUAUGUGGGAAUAUGCCUUUUGGUACGGAACAACUUUUGGAAACGAAAGCUAAUACCGUAUGGUCCCUUCGGGGUAAAGAUUUAUCGCCAAAAGAGUAGCCCGCACUGGAUUAGCUAGUUGGUGAGGUAAUGGCUCACCAAGGCGACGAUCCAUAGCUGGUCUGAGAGGACGAUCAGCCACACUGGGACUGAGACA
rnacentral:rRNA from 1 species